CUGACGUGUGAUUUCCUGUAAAUGCAGAAAGGAGAAGCAGCUCAAAGUCCAAACUGAAGCUCAGACUCCAUUUUAAGUACAUGACGCAGACGAUUAAAACAAAGUGCUGAAUCUGACUGAAGAUGAGUGGUUAUGUGGAGGAAGAGGACAGAGCAGAGUCUCCAGAGUUCAGCUGUGUGUCUCUGAAGAGUAACCGGUCCAUGAAACAACCUCCAGCCUUCAGUAAUGAACCUGGACCCUCACACACAAAAGGUGAGGACCACAGACUGAGAGC